rnacentral:tRNA from 1 species
UGGCUCAGACGGUAAAGCAUCUGCCUGCAGUGCAGGAGACCCAGGUUUGAUCCCUGG